CGCUGGAAUUGAAAGUGCAUUGUUAUUUUUUAUCUUAAUUUAUCUACUAUACAUUUCUAGGAAAAUGAGUGGUUUCAUCCGCGCGGAGACCGUAUAUAGUUCAUAUUCAUAUUUAGUAGGUGUCGUUUAUUUCAAACACGGUCAAUAGUGGUGCUACGUUCCUUUGAAAAAUUCAACACGGCGCUAAGGAAAAACCUGAAAGGUUUAAGAGACGAAGAAAUUGAGGAUGACCAAUUGAAAUAAAUUCAUACUAACAAGUUUUUAUUGUUGCCAUUUGAUUCAUUAGUAUAGACUAAUGAAAGAAGGUUCUUAAUAUUGAAGACUUGAUCUCUUUGAUAAUACCACAUGUUAAGAUAGUCUGUUAGCUAAAUCCGUUACACAGUGUGCUAGUGGCCUAAAUACAAACGCAUAUGGGAGUUCGAGCUUCGCUCUAACCCAUAUGAAAUUAACUGUCCCCAUAUAUAUCGUAUUUAAUAGGUCACUGGCACACUAUGUAACUAAUAAUAUUACAAUUGUUCUGAUAAGUGUAAGAAUCUAUACUAUUAAACGAGAAGACCUCAUUUGUGUCGCUUCUCUUCCUUCCACAUUAAAUUAAUCAUCAUG
rnacentral:lncRNA from 1 species